rnacentral:rRNA from 1 species
UACCAUGCAGUCGACGAUGAAGCCCAGCUUGCUGGGCGGAUUAGUGGCGAACGGGUGAGUAACACGUGAGUAACCUGCCCUUGACUCUGGGAUAAGCCCGGGAAACUGGGUCUAAUACCGGAUAGGAACGCCUAUCGCAUGAUGGGUGUUGGAAAGAAUUUUCGGUCAUGGAUGGACUCGCGGCCUAUCAGCUUGUUGGUGAGGUAAUGGCUCACCAAGGCGACGACGGGUAGCCGGCCUGAGAGGGUGACCGGCCACACUGGGACUGAGACACGGCCCAGACUCCUACGGGAGGCAGCAGUGGGGAAUAUUGCACAAUGGGCGAAAGCCUGAUGCAGCGACGCCGCGUGAGGGAUGACGGCCUUCGGGUUGUAAACCUCUUUCAGUAGGGAAGAAGCGAAAGUGACGGUACCUGCAGAAGAAGCACCGGCUAACUACGUGCCAGCAGCCGCGGUAAUACGUAGGGUGCGAGCGUUAUCCGGAAUUAUUGGGCGUAAAGAGCUCGUAGGCGGUUUGUCACGUCUGUCGUGAAAGUCCGGGGGUUAACCCCGGAUCUGCGGUGGGUACGGGCAGACUAGAGUGCAGUAGGGGAGACUGGAAUUCCUGGU